rnacentral:lncRNA from 1 species
AGAGGACUGAAAAUCUUGAGAAACAAAGAUAAACUCUCUAACAGUCUUGUCCUUACAGCAUCUCUGCAAGCAGGUAUAAUUUCAUCUGUGUCAGACCUGGUAACCACCUUGGGGAGGAAUAUGUUAUGAACUGCCAGGUUGUGAAGAGUGUGACAAGUGUCUGUUCCUGACAAGUUUUUGUACACGUUGGUUCUCUGAGUUGCUGUACAGCGUUGUAUUCCAGUGGAAUACCCAAAUACCCCUGAAGAAACACAAACCUGUGGACUCUGCACAGCAAAGGGAAGAACACAGUUGGAUUGAGGAGAGAAAGCAGCUGGGAAGUGUAGUGAGCCACAAGCAGUGCUGUGUAUUGUACAGCCAUCACUUGGAAUUUAGGUAAGAGGGGAUGUUUAAAGAAAUGAGAUGGUACACGAAACCACUUUAGACAUUUAGGAAAGUUCAGCUCACUUAGUAUUUCUACUCUUUUACCUUAGCACUCCACAACCACUAAAAUAAGAGCCCCUCUGAAAGAUUUCUGAGUACAAACUAAGGCUAAAUGGCUGCUUUGAGCGAAGUUUCCAUGCCCAGCAGACUGCAGAAAAUGCAGGAGAAAAUGGGUACCCUCCCACCCGCUCAUUACCAAGAGGUUUAGAUCAUUUAAAGAGGUGCUGGCAUUUCUGGGUGCUUAAUUGAAACCAAACCUCAGGGUGAAACUCUAAACCUCUUUCAGUCUGAACUUUACUUCUUGUAAUAUGAUGUUUGAAUUUUCAUCAUUCCAAGGAAAAUCUUUCAUUCCCCUCAGCUGGCAUCUGAGAUAAGGGACUAAAUCCCCCAGACAUAAAACGUUGAGCAGUUCUGUCAUACAUUACUUUAGUCUCUUGCUCAAAGUCUUUUUCUUCUCCCUGAUUGAUCUCAGAUACAAUGCAAAAUUAUCAGCAAGGAGAAAAAGGGAACAAUUUAAAGCGUGGCUUUGAAGUUCAGCCCAUGUUCUAGGUGGCUGCCCUUCUCUGUUCCAGCCACUAGAGAGAUGUCAGUCCUGCUAGGUUAACUCAGGCCAGAUCUGUAGCAGCUCGUAUACUG